CAAUAGCGUAUAUUAAAGUUGUUGCAGUUAAAACGCUCGUAGUCGGAUUUCGGGGCGGGCCUGCCGGUUUGCCGAUGGGUAUAUACUGGUGGGUGCGUCCUUCCUUCCGGAGACCGCGCCUCCUCUUAACUGAGCGGGCGCGGGAGACGGAUCGUUUACUUUGAAAAAAUCAGAGUGUUUCAAGCAGGCAUUUCGCUUUUGCAUGGAUUAGCAUGGGAUAAUGAAAUAGGACUUUGGUGCUAUUUUGUUGGUUUCGAGCACCGAAGUAAUGAUUAACAGGGACAGUCAGGGGCACUCGUAUUCCGCAGAGAGAGGUGAAAUUCUCAGACCCGCGGAAGACGAACCACUGCGAAAGCAUUUGCCAGGGAUGUUUUCACUGA
rnacentral:rRNA from 1 species